AUCCAGUUGACGAGUUUCAAAUAGGACUAAGUGCUCAUCCUGGAU
rnacentral:hammerhead_ribozyme from 1 species